UACGUAGGGUGCAAGCGUUGUCCGGAAUUAUUGGGCGUAAAGAGCUCGUAGGCGGUUUGUCACGUCGGAUGUGAAACCCUGAGGCUCAACCUCAGGCCUGCAUUCGAUACGGGCAGACUAGAAUUCGGCAGGGGAGACUGGAAUUCCUGGUGUAGCGGUGAAAUGCGUAGAUAUCUGGAGGAACACCGGUGGCGAAGGCGGCAUCCUGGACCGAUACUGACGCUGAGGAGCGAAAGCCAGGGGAGCAAACGGG
rnacentral:rRNA from 1 species